rnacentral:rRNA from 1 species
UACGUAGGGUGCAGGCGUUAAUCGGAAUUACUGGGCGUAAAGCGUGCGCAGGCGGUCUUUUAAGUCAGAUGUGAAAUCCCCGGGCUUAACCUGGGAACUGCGUUUGAAACUGAAAGGCUAGAGUGUGGCAGAGGGGGGUGGAAUUCCACGUGUAGCAGUGAAAUGCGUAGAGAUGUGGAGGAACACCGAUGGCGAAGGCAGCCCCCUGGGUCAAGAUUGACGCUCAUGCACGAAAGCGUGGGGAGCAAACAGG